AACAAACAUCCUUAAAGGUGCUCCUCCCUUCAGCCAGAUUGCUUCCUCUUCCGCCCUGCUGGCCUUUCAGGCACUGCCCUUGAGCACGUCUGGCCCUUCGCCCUGUGUUGUUGGCCAUUGUUUGCAGGUGGAGAAACUGAGACCCCGGCACGGGGUGGAGGGGGUUGGGGGAGAGAGCUGGGCUGAGGGCUGAUUCAGGGUAUCAGAGGACACUAGCCUUGUCCUGCAAUAGGGUCCCCGAGGGUCCCCCUGCCCCAGUGACCACUUCCCCUCCCCGCAGGCCUGUGCUGUGUGCUGGGGAGGCUCUGUCCCGGGUGGAUGAGAAGAGGCAUGAGGCCGGGAUGGUGUCUCCCCUCUAUUGGGAACCCACCCUCCUGGCCUUCCUUGUCCAGACAUAGUUUCAUCCCUUUGUGCCUUACUGUGGGCGUUCAGUCAGGUUGUCUGGAUGACUUUUGAGACAACAGACUCUGGCUUCGGUGCCACUUUACCUGUCCUGUCCCACCCUGCACAACAAAGAGGCUGUAGACCCAGCCUGAGUCUUUACCCUCCCUCCAAACCGCCCCCCGCCCCCGAACCUCCUGCAAACACAUGCAGAGAGCAGGUGGAAGCUCCCACUGGUCCAUCUCGAGUGAUGGGAAGAAGCGUCUUUAAGGGCAGCCCACGUGCCCCUUGGCAUCUGCAGAGCUGUGAGCACAGGCACCGAGUGAUGCUCAGAGGAAAGGCCAACGCAGGGCUGGGGUGUGCUGCUGCGUCUGCAUCCUAAGCACCUUCCUAGCCUUUCCCGGGAGGGCCGGCAUCCCAGGACUCCUGACCCAGUUUGGGAACAGCCUCUCAGCCCUGGGGGUCUCCGAAGAGGGUGUCCUGUCUGUUACCGCCAAUACCAGGCAGCUCCCAGCCGAGCUAACUAGGUCACUUCCCCCCGCCCAAUCAUGCAGCCCAGCUGGGCAGCCACUUCAGGGGCUUCUCUCAGGUAUGAGGACUGGCCUCUAAAGUGAUGGGAGCUCUCAGUGUAGUGAAGCGCCCCCCCCCCAACCCCUGGCCUUUCAUCUCCUCUUUCAAGAAAAUGAUGAGAAAAUAGGCACAUUUCCCUGGGAGUGGUGGGCAUCGUCCAGGUGUGUUCCAAAUGGGCACGAUUUGGAGUCUUUUCCUGCCUCUGGUGGUUCAUUUCCAACAGGCUGGGCAGCUGGCCUGGGUGGCAGGUCGUUCGUUAGAAGAAGGAGCUGCUUGUCGUGCACAUGAAGGAAUGGGCAGGCUCGAGUCCUGACCUUUUGAGGCCACAUGUGCAACGUGGACGCAUCGUCCUGGGUGCCUUUGUCACGAGAUUCUGCCCCCUGGAGUGAAAUUAGCCACAGACCCUCCAGCUUAGCCCUAGACAGAGAGUCCCUGCGGGAGAGGCACAAUAGGACGCUGAAUUCAGCCCACCCUUGUCCCGAGUCACCUGUCCUGCGAGCAUCUCUGAUGAAUGUUUGCUGCCCCACUCCUUGUGGGACAAGGACUCCACCCUGGCCUAAGGGUGGGUAUCCAGGGCCAGGCCCUCUUCUCUGUGGCUGCUGCGAUGCUGCUGGCACAGUUACAGGGGCUUCACCAGGGGCCAUGAGAGGAAAGAGGAAGAGGAUCUCCUUGCUAGACCAGCACCUGCCUCUCCAAGAACCACCAGAAACUCCCUUCCUGGAUCCAGCCGAGGUGGACACUGUCAUCCGUGGGGAGCUCGAAUCUGAGUAGCCCCCUCCUCAAAGGACCCUCAGGAGCAGGUGAGGUGCAGACAGAGCUCCCUGGAGGCCCACCCUCUGUGUCUGGCCCCCACAUGCCCCAUACCCCCUGCACCUGCGGGGAGCAGGCGGAAGUCUCUUUUCAAGAACUGCGUGGGAGCUCCAGAGCAGGGGCCAGGGAAGGGAGGAUGGCGAGUUUAUGGCCGAGAAGCUUCCCCACUCAAAUGCUUUAGAUUCUUUUAAGGCAACACAGAAGAGCCAUGACCGGAGCCAGAAUGGGGCCACCCCUGAGUUCUGAGCCAAGUUGUGAAGGUGGCUUUUCUGGGUGAGGCUGCACGGGUGGGCCUGCCUGUCUUGCACACACGAGCUCUCUCUGCACAUGGUCCCAGCCUUCUUGGCUCAGGAUCCAGGCCUGUGAGCUCCAGGAACAUCCGGAUCCUACAAUGUAAGGACUGGGAAAAUAGCAAGACUCGCAGAACAAUGCUUGCAGUGGGGAAGAAAUAACCCAGGAGGGAGAAGUGUGCCUUUCAAAGCCUGUGUGUAUAUUCUGACCUGCGGAAAAUCGGAUUGCACAUUCCUUAGCUCCGCCCCAGCUGGCUCCAUACCCGCCUGGUCAGCAGCAGUGUGACAGCAAGACAUACGUCCUUCCUUUGCUGCCCCUCGCCCCCCAACAACACCCACAGGAACAACUCACUUUGGGGGAUCUGAUAUCACCAGGGACUCUGCUUUCUGACUCUGUAGGGCUUCUAGGCAGAGGUUGCCUUUUUAAGCCUAAAUGUUGAGUAUUUGCUCUGAAUGUGACUCCACCCAGCUCUCGAUUUUAAAAGCCCAGACAGAGGGUCCAGGAUGAUGUGCAUCACUGCAAGCGGCUCAGAGAAGCCAGCCUCAGGCAGGCUGCCUUUGGAAAUUCACCAGAGCGACAUGUCCAUCUAUCCAUCUGUCCACCAGUCCAUCAAGCUCCUACUGUCAGCUCCCCAGCAGGGGUCAGGACCGACCCCUGUGGCCGCCCCCCCCCCCCUGACGCUGAGCACAGGAAGGAGCAGGGAGUGGCAGGGACUGGAACGCGCUGUGACCUGGCAUCUGUUCGGGCCACGGUUGCUGUGUAGCAAACCACCCCCAGCCCUCGAGGUAUAAACAAGCAUUUUGUCAUGCUCACAGAUUCUGUGGGUCAGGACUUCAGACAGGGCGGGGCACAGAGUUUGUCUCUGCAUUCCCUAGGACCUUGGCUGGGAACACUCACAGGCUGGGCCAUUCCACUGCAGGCCCUGGAACCAUCCAGAGACAUCUCUCCUUUGAUGGGCAUGGAGGCUGGCUGCCCACGGGCUGUGCUGGGGCCGUGUCUGCUGAAACAUCUGUGUAUGACUUCUCCUCUUGGUCUGGGCUUCCUCGUGGUGUGGUGGCCCCAGGGAGGAGGUGGGGUGGAUUUCUUACAUGGAAGGUCUGGGCUGGGGGGAAGCAGGGGUAUCCUUUGAUGACAGCUCCAGAAGGCACGCCUUGUCACUUUUGCUCCAUUUGAUUGGUUACAAAGGAAUCACGCAUCCUCCUGGAUUCCAGAGCAGGGAAAUUGGAUUCCACCUCCCAGUGGAGGAGGCUAGAGGUUCUAGAAGGGCAUGAGAUUGCUGUCUGCCACAGCACCCCAGUUGCAGGUCCCUGCAUUUUGCAGGUAAAACCCCACAGCCUGGACAGGGUGCUCGUGAGUCUGUUCUGAGCGGAUUCCGCGAGGUUGGCCGCAUUUGAGAUUCCCACACUGGGCUCCUGGGGCCUGUAACUCAACACAGUCAACCUUGCAAACCGAUUCCCAGUGACAGUGACUUUCUGUGGAACUGUUUACCAUAAAGCACAGCCUAGGACAGGAAAAGGCACCUUCCACAUAGUGGUGAAAGCAGAGACUCAAACUAGACCGCUGGUUCCAGGGCUGGCUCUGUCACUUAUGUGUGACCUUGUACAAAUUACUUAAGCUCUCUGUGCCUUUGUUCCCUCAUCAGUAAAUUAGGGGUGAUAAAAAUGAUACCUCCUCAUGCUGUUGUAACAAAAUACCAUAGACUGGGUGGUCAUACAAGAGAAACUGAUUAUCUCACAGUUCCAGAGGCUGCAAAUCCAAGAUCAAGGUGCCAACCUGGUCAGUUUCUGGUGAGAUCCCUCUGCUUGGCUCAAAGAUGGCUGCCUUCUCCCUUCGUCCUCCUGUGGCAGCCUCACGUGGUCUUCUAACUAAGGACACUAAGCCCAUCAUCUCAUGCCCUGAGGCUCUAACCUCCUGACCUCAUCUAAACCUAAUCAAUCCCCAAGGCCCCACCUCCAAGCGAUCACAUUGGAGGUUGGAGCUUCCAUGCAUGAAUUUGAGGGGAACCCAGUUCAGGGCACUAGAACCAUCUCUUUGUAGGGCUUCCACGAGGGCUGAGUGAGUCACUAUGCAGGACGCGUCUGGCAUGGUGCUUGGCCUGUGGUGAUCACUAUACGUUCAAAUGAAAAAAUCAAGAGGAGAGUUCAGAGCAGGAAGCGGCUGCUCUGGGUGUCGGAGGACUGUGUCUUGCAGAGUCCUAGCAACCAGGGGUAAUUUCUGCCACUGCCUAGCAAGGACUCACAUCUUUUACGAGAAAGACAAAUUCCAUCCGUGUGGUCUGGGAAGUGCCGCGUGGGGUGAUGGGCCAGCCGCCAAGUCCAAGGUCUUGCCUUGAACUGCAGUAUGGAGAUUUCACCUUCCUUUAUCUUUGCUGUGUGUGUGUGUGUGUGUGUGUGUGUGUGCGUGUGUGUGUGUGUGUGUGUGUUUUAAGCUCAUAACUUAUUCUCGCCCAUGGUUUGGGGAGCAUAGGGGAGAGGAGCUGAAGAUGUCUUUAAUUAAAUAUUGCCACUCCCUCCUCCUUAAGGUCAUUUACAGUCAAUAAGGAGGAGGAGAAAUAUCUCUUUGAAAGGCCUUGCAAAUGAAAAAAAAAAAAAAAAA
rnacentral:lncRNA from 1 species